rnacentral:rRNA from 1 species
CAGUAGCCGCGGUAAUACGAGGGGGGCAAGCGUUGUUAGGAAUUAUUGGGCGUAAAGGGUGCGUAGGCGGCUUGACAUGUCUUGUGUGAAAUCUAUGGGCUCAACCCAUAGUCUGCACGGGAAACUGUCGGGCUUGAGAAUGGGAGAGGUGAGUGGAAUUUACGGUGUAGCGGUGAAAUGCGUAGAUAUCGGAAGGAACACCUGUGGCGAAAGCGGCUCACUGGACCAUUUCUGACGCUGAUGCACGAAAGCUAGGGGAGCAAACAGGAUUAGAUACCCCAGUAGUCCCUGUCUCUUAUAU